AGGAGAGGAACCGCCCCGCGGAGGCGCAGCGGACGCCCAGCCUCUUCACCUGUUGCCCGACUCCCAGCUGCCGAGAAGGCGCCGCGUCGCACCCAGGGUGGCUGGGUUGGCAGCCCGGCGGGCGGCGCGGAGGAGAGGGCGCAGGGGUCCUCCUGGCCGUCUUCCGCUCCCCUCCCGGCUUUUGCCUCUGUCAGGCCCCGCCUGGCCCGGGCCUGCAGCCGCCAGUGACCUGUUUCCUUCCACCUGGGCGGGUCGGGGGCUGCGGGCAUUGGGGCCCCUUAAGGAAACCCAGGCCUCCAGGAACCCCGCCGCUCCAGGACUCGGCGCGGAGGGAGUGACUGAGCGACGACCGAGGCAGGGGUGAUGUGGUGCCGCGAAUGUUCGGGAAACGGCAGGAAUGAUGACCCGGCCGGACCUUAGACCCGAAAUCGAUGAGAGGCCGCCAGCACUGCCCGGGAGACGGCCCGCGCUUCUCCCCCUCCUGCUGCGGCCGCCGCCAGAGCCCGGUGUUAUUUCCUGCCCCUCCUGUCGGGAACAAUUUGAGGAACCAACUUAAUCGCUUGGCUUUGAGGGCGCGACGCUUCCAGGCGCUCUCCUCGGCUCUGUCCCGCGGACCCGUGGAGCCUGGGUGACGGCGCCUGGGCUGGAGGAGGGGAGAUGUUUGGGGUCCCUGGCCAAGAUGAAUCAGCGUGACCGUCCCGUCACCCUUGAGGAAAAAAAAAAAAAAGUUUCAAGAAGGCUUGAAAGGUGUGAUUUGUGUAAAGUUAACUUUAGGACAAAUGAGCGGUGCUUUCCUGGCAUGGAAAGGGGAUGGGGGUCCUCCUUUACUGAGGCAGUUUGUAACAGGGUCAGGAAGAACUGAGCUCGGGUGCUUGCGUUUAUCGGCUGUAUGACCCAGAGCGAGUGGCUCUACUUUUCGGGCCUCAGUAAUGCAGUCUCUAAAAUGCAGGCUUUGACAGAUGGGCCUCUGAACAAAAAGAUUAUCUUCCUGUUGGUCCCUCCUUCUAUUUUGUGAAACGGUAGCAAGAAACAUUUUAUCUGGAAGCCACCAAGAGAAAAGGAAAUAAGGAAAGGAAGAAAAGGCUAUAAAUCGAGGGUAACUUUGAUUCACAGUGAAGGCAUUUCUGCUGAUUUGUUCCAAGACAGGUUAAAAAAGAGAUCACAAGGGACAUUUUCUUCACAGUGUCUUAUCGAAUGUGCUGAGAAGAAAGCAAAAAUGACAAUCUAAUAAAACAAGGAAUUAAUGUCUUUUAAGUCUAGGACCUAGCCAGGAAGACCUCCGGGAGUAAAAGUUGAGGCUUUAAAAGCAUGGCAAAGAUGGAAGAUGCGGAGAAAUUCCAUCCGUGUGUAUUUGGGAAAGAAAUCAGGAGCUUGGCUGAGAAGUAAGAGUGUUCUUCCAACUCCAGUCCCCAAAGCCACCAGUGAGCCUAGUCCAUCUUCAGUUUGAAAAUAGGAAGAGAUGGAACCUAAAUCCAUUCACUAAUGAACUUUUGGAUCUCUGGUGGAUUUGAGUUCCAAGAGGCUCUGUCAAUUUGACCAGAGGUUUUCAGCCCAAAUGACAACACGGUGAGGCAUAUAAGGUACAUGAGGACACCUGGAAAACAACAUUCAUUGCAGCAUCCUGUGUGAUAGAGGAGUUGCAGGCAACCUAAGGUGUCCCUCAUUGGGAGGGUAGGAAAGUACACUGUUGAAGAGAGGCAGACACUUGGACCAGAUGGAAGCAAUGAACUCAAGGACAUCAAGGGCUCUGGAUAUUGUGAAAGUUUCCCUUUAAGUUACGACUGGAAUCCAGAACAACGCCGUAUGGACCACUCUGUGGGUAGCGCGGAAAGCUCUCAGCACAUCUUAACAGGAGGCACAUGAUGUCCAUUGGUACCAUCUGUGAAGAUAUUAAUCUUCGUUACUGGAUUAAGCAUCUGCCAGAUUUCUCUACGACUGACAGCUCCUUGAAGGCAAGAACCUUGUCAUAUCUUCAUCUCCUAGGGCCUUACAUGGGGCUAGUACAGGAGAAGCACUGCCUAAAAGUUUGAAUUCAUACUGACCUUCUCUGAACAUUGGCAUUCCAUCUUUUGCAAAGAGGAAUAAUGAAUUUUGCUGAAUUGCCUCUAAGGAUCAACUGUGAUGAGAUUUUAUAAGUGAAAGCACUUUAUAACCUACAAAGUGCCAGAGGACUCUGAGGCAUUAUCGUUUGUUUGGAGCUAAGAACGACUCCAACACCAAUGAGUACUGCUGGGUCUCCUCUCACACUCAGCAGGUGGCCACCCAGACUCUCAUCUGAAAUCAACUUGUUCACUCCUUCGUCCUAAGGGUAGUUCCUGUGGCUGUCUUUUUUGUCUUAGUAGCUUCAGGGAUGAGCACAGAACACAGCCGGGAUACUCAAUACAUGUUUUGAAAGAACACCCACAUGAAUGAACGAAUCUAGCCCCUUUCCCUCUUCUUAGUGUCCAAAUCUCCCAAAAGAAAUUUAAGAACUAGCACUGGACCUGACACAGUAUUGUGUAGGCAUUCAAGAUGAAUGCUAUGUAGAGAAUUACAGCAAGUAAAGAGAUUGAAUUUGUAAUCAAAUAACUACUCACAAAGAAAGCCCCAGACUCAGAUGGCUUCACUCGGUGAAUUAUAUCAAACAUUUGAAAAAGAAUGAAUACCAUUAUUUUCACAAACUCUUUCAAAAAGUAGAAGAGGAGGGAACAUUUCCCAACUCAUUCCAUGAUGCCAGUAUUAUCCCUGAUACCUGAGACAACUCAAUAAAAGAAAACUCCAGAUCAAUAUCCCUUAUAAAUGUAGUCAAAAACCUUUAACAAAAUACCAGUGAAAUAGAAGAAUUAUACCCCCUGGCCAAUGGGAUUUAUCCCAGGAAUACAAGGUUGGCAAUAUAUGAAAAUAAAUCAUGUAAUAUACCACAUGAAUAGAAAAAAGGACAAAAGCCACAUGGUCAUCUCAGUAGACACAGGAAAAGCAUUUGACAGAAUUGAACAUACAUUCAUGACAAAAACACUCAACUAACCAGGACUAGAAGGGAACUUCUUAAACCUGAUAAAGGGCAUCUACAAAAAGAAAGCUCGUAGGUAAUAUCAUACAUAAUGGUGGAAGACAAAUGCUUUUUUCCUAAAAUCAGGAACAAGAUAAGAAUGUCUGUGCUCACCACUUCUACUCAACAUUCAACUAACUGACAAAUUAAUUAGGAAAGAAAAUAAAAUAAAAGGUAUCUAGAUUUGAAAAGAAGAAAUAAACUAUAUGUUAUCUAUUCGCAGACAUAGGUCUUGUAUAUAUGAAAUUAUGAAGUAUCCACUAAAAAUUACUAGAACUAAUAAACAAGUUCAGCAAGUAGAUAAAAUCUAUAUACAAAAAUCAAUUGUAUUUCUAUAUGCUGGAAGUAAACAAUCAGAAAAUGAAAUUAAUCUAAAAAUUCCAUUUCCAUUUAUAAUAGUAUCAAAAAGAGUAACCUACUUGGGAGUAAGUUUAACAUAAGAAGUAUAAGACUAGUACACUCAAAUUACAAAACACUGCUGAAAGAAAUCAAUGAAGACCUACACAGAUGAAAAGAUAUCCCAUGUCCAUGGAUUGAAAGACUUAACAUUGUUCAGAUGGGAGUACGCCCUGGAGUGAUCUAUAGUUUCAAUGCGGUCCUUAUCAAAAUCUCACCUGGAUGUUUUUGUAGAAAUUGACAAACUGAUCUUGAAAAUCAUAUGGAUUUGUUAAUUAGCUCAAUUUAGCCAUUUUGUAAUGUAUACAUAUUUCAAAACA